CCCUUAGAUGUUCUGGGCUGCAUACGUGCUACACUGGCAGGUUCAGCGAGCUUCAUGCCCUGAUCUGAAAGGAAUGGGAAAUCUUUUCAAAACCUGCCGUGCUUGGGAUAGAUGUUUGCAAUUAUUCAUCUUCAACGAGGAUUGCCUUGUAAGCGCACGUCAUCAGCGUGCAUUGAAUACGACCCUGUAUUCUGUACACACCGCCCGUCGCUCCUACCGAUUGAAGUUUUCGGUGAGUUGACAGGAGGAUUUUUUUGAAACUGGUUCGCCAGUGGAUUUUAGAUCCAAAUGCCAACGAAUCGAUGGCUUUAGAGGAAGGAGAAGUCGUAACA
rnacentral:rRNA from 1 species